GCUCUGGUGGCUCAAUCGGAUAGAGCGUUGGACUUCUAAUCCAAAGGUUGCGGGUUCAAGUCCCGCCUAGAGUA
rnacentral:tRNA from 2 species